UGCUCCUCUUCCCAAGAAUGUUCUCUGCACAUUCAAGGUGCAGUGAUUUCAGGUCAACUUGGUGGUUCCCGUUUUCAGUUUAGGAGGCAUCCAUGCUAGGUGCUACAUCUGACACUGAGCAGAAGCGUGACAUGCAGAUGGGAGUAAGGGGAUUGUCUGGCCCUUGGAAGGUCUUUCUAAUUAGCUUCCCAAACUAUAUAGCCUGCAAGAGAGAGUAACUCAGGACCUAGAAGAACUCACAGGAGGAAAAAAAGCCCUAAGUUUUAUUACAUGCUCACAAAGGCCCAGUGAUGAAAUUGAGAUGAAAAAAUGACCAACGGAGCAGCUUUUGUACAUUUUAGACAAAGAAGCAUAAAUCUUUAAUGUUUUACAGGACAAUUUUAUGUUUUCUAUGUUUGGGAGCUACCAUUAGUAAGGAAUUCUCAAAAUGAUU